rnacentral:rRNA from 1 species
GAUCUUUAUUUUUAAAAUAAUUAUAAAAAAAAAGAAAUAAUUAUAUUUUAUAUUUAUGAAAAAAUUUUACUGGGGUGGUAUCAAAAUUUAAAUAACUUUUGAAAUUUUUUAACAUAAAUUUAUGAAUAUUUGAUCCAAUAAUAUUGAUUAAAAAAUUAAGUUACCUUAGGGAUAACAGCGUAAUUUUUUUUUAGAGUUCUUAUCGACAAAAAAGAUUGC